rnacentral:lncRNA from 1 species
UCUGUAUGUAACAAACACACUGAGCUUCUGGGUUGAGUAGUAGGUGCCCUCUAUCAAAGGUAGCACAGCCUACCCGAUCCCAGCUUUUCUGGAUAUGUGCCUGUCAUGUCUUCACCACCAUGUCUGCCCCUAACUGUUUUCUAGGAUCCUGUAGUUCAGAAUGCCACACUUAGUGAUUCCUAAAUUUCUGAAUAACAGAGACAUUGUCUUUGUGUCCUCAGAAACCAAGGCAGUUGCCAGGGUGACAGUAAGUGCUUACAAGUGUUUGUUUUAAAUCAAAUGGAUUUAAAAGGAAUUCCAAUCAGCUAUUUGGCAUAGAGUCAUGUUUAGUCCUACUUUUUACUGUUUUCUAGGAGACAUAUUCCAGUGCAAAACUACUGACUCUUGUUCACAUGUCACUCGUUACCUAGUCCAGUGGUGGGUAGUGCUUCUGCAGUUAUACAUGUUUGUCCUGGGCUGCUCGGCCUGCUUAUGCCUUUCUUUGCCUGAGCUAGGUGUUUUCUACUUCAUGGGUCCUUGUUUCCAAGUAACAUAUGUGGCGGCUACCAGCAGCCAAGAAUACUGGGGACUUCCUGGUAGCUUGCUUCUGUACUAGAAUGAGUUUCACUCUAUUGUUAGGAGCUUCAGGGAAAUGGAAACUUGUAGAUUAGAAGUUUUUGAGAAGUCGAAACUUACGCCAUUGGUUUCUGAUGUGAUGUAUGUUAUUGUUACCGUGACAACCAGUUUGUGUUGUGUGAUUUUUCUGCGUAUAAGCAAGUGCUUUUGCUUUAUUAAAUGAGACUUGACCA